rnacentral:rRNA from 1 species
GAUGAACGCUGGCGGCGUGCUUAACACAUGCAAGUCGAACGGAAAGGCCCAAGCUUGCUUGGGUACUCGAGUGGCGAACGGGUGAGUAACACGUGGGUGAUCUGCCCUGCACUUCGGGAUAAGCCUGGGAAACUGGGUCUAAUACUGGAUAGGACCACUUCUUGGAUGUUGUGGUGGAAAGUUUUUUCGGUGUGGGAUGAGCUCGCGGCCUAUCAGCUUGUUGGUGGGGUAAUGGCCUACCAAGGCGUCGACGGGUAGCCGGCCUGAGAGGGUGUACGGCCACAUUGGGACUGAGAUACGGCCCAGACUGCUACGGGAGGCAGCAGUGGGGAAUAUUGCACAAUGGGCGCAAGCCUGAUGCAGCGACGCCGCGUGGGGGAUGACGGCCUUCGGGUUGUAAACUCCUUUCGCUAGGGACGAAGCGUUUUGUGACGGUACCUGGAGAAGAAGCACCGGCUAACUACGUG